GGCCUCGGACUGCGAGGAUGGCCAUGAUGUGCUCCUUCCUGCAGGGAACAAGCAGUACCAGAAGCCUGUGACCAUCAUGUUAUGGCAGGGUGACAGAAUGAGCACUGCCUCCUGUUCAGCAUACUGGCAUUAAGGCAUUUCUUUGUGGAACAGAUGCCUUCAUCAAGGAAAUCACUUAGGAACAGAUGUCCUUUUUCAAAUCCAUGUCCUGGAUUUUCCAACUCAGAAUAAUAAUGUCAACAGCCCCCAGGAAGGUGCUUACUUGUGACUGACUGCCUGUUCCAGACUGGAUUUCAUGCUUCUUUUACGCUUGGUGGCCUUGGCCUCACCACAGCACAGGGACAGACCUGAGCCACUCUGAUGCUGGAGUGAAUGUUUGCUGGCUUCCUCCACUACACCCUUCAGGAACUUCUCCAGGAUCCUCUUGAAUGCAUCCAAAACAUGCAGCAGAUAGUCGCAUGUAGCCACCUGCUGUCUGAAGAACAACUUUCUUCUGCUAGUUUUGAAGCUGGAUGCUACAGACUUUAUUUUCUGCACCUAAUGACUGUACUGGGAGAGGCUGAGGAUGCUUCCUGUACAAGAGGAAGCUGUUUCAAAGGGCAGCUUUUAGUCACUGUGUGGCCUGAUGAGAGGAUACCCUCAUGUAGUGACAGUGUGUUUAAUGGAGAACAUACAGCUCAGCAGCCCUGUGGAUACCAACCCUCUGUGCUCUCUGCAGGAUCCAUCCUCUUGAGUUCAUCCUCAACUGAAAAAAUGAAGUCCUUUUGAGCCUGAUUUUGUCUACUUCUUCCAAUGCAUCGGGUGCUACAGUGACAUGUAUCUUCCUGCACGCUUUACCCUUCUUGUAACCUUACCUGCUGUUAACUUCUUCUUGCAGUGGAUACAGAGGUACCAGAGCUCUUUUUGUACCAGUGAGCUCCUGGCUAACAGUCUUGAGAGCUACACCAUGGCUCCAGCCCCAGAAAGACACUGGGGACCAUGCAGCUGAGUCUGUUGGUGAUGCUCAACCAGGAGAACAAUUCCAAACCAAGUGGCCCCUGUCCUCCCUACAGGCAUCUUCUAAAUGCCAACAGUGGCUGCUUUAAAGAUAAUCACAUCACACAAAGUUAUUUAAAAUGGCUGAGUGAUAACCUCCUCAAAGGAAGAUUUAUGAACAUUUGCAUCCAGUCCUCAGUGGCACAAUAAAAAUAUAUUAGACGUUAGGUACAAACUGCUUUGCCUAGGGGAAUCCCAAUAAAAUCAAUGAUCCAUUUUUUUUCCCCUUUAAAGUGAGCAAGAAGCUCCAAGGCCCUUUAUUUCCUUUGCUGAUCAGUGACUCAGAAAUAUUCUUCAGCACACAUCUCUUCCCCAUAGAGUUCCCUUUAUCCUUGCCGCCUGUGCUGCAGAAACCAGCCAUCAAAAGGCAAAAGCAGUGACUGCCUGAACUUCCUUCAUGCUUUAUCUACUCUCUAAAGAAGGUCUGAGCCCAACAGCGUUUUCUGAGAGCUGUUUCAGGGCUUCUAGACAAGCACUGUAAGCAUAGGGUUAGACUCCACUUGCAGCCUUGUAUCCUUUGCAAAACCUGAGUGGUUUGGUUCCUCAGCAGAUGCAUCAGGGUGAGAGGUGUGUUGCCAGGAGGUGCUGCUGCCUGGUCAUCACCCCACUGAGCAGUACGCCAAGGGCCCAGCCCCAUUGGGAUGGGGAAUGGUGAGCAGUGUGGCCUCCUAAAGAAAAAUGUGGGCUUGAAAAGGAAAGACAGAGAAUGCAUAUGGCAUUGCUUUUACAAGGAUCAGAUAAUGAACCAAGACAAACUCAGGACUAUGUGAGCAGUGCAGCCUCUUACCACCAAACAUAGGCCCUGGUUGGUGCCUAUUGACAAGACAGCUGCAUCCAAAGCCAUCAGGACAUGAACAAGGUUUUACACCUCAGAGUGUGGUCUGUGACACAGACUUCUGGUGUGAAACAGCCCCACCAAGAGACCUCACACCUUCUUACUCCUCAGCUGGGAACCAUUAUCCUCAUUACAUGGGGCAACUGUGAAAGAGCACAGUGAAAAUCCAUGCUCAGCAAAUGCCUGCACAGCACUGGGUUCCUAGAAGCCCUAUUGCUUUUGGAAAGUGAGAAGCAACACAGAGUAGGUGAAAUCCUUUCACAACUUUCUGUUUGUGUCAUUGAGAGAUUCAUGGGGUUAUUGGUUUAAACUGAUAUUAACAAUAAGAAAAUAAUACUGAUGGUUGACAAUUUCCAGCUGUGAGCUAACAAAACUUCUUAAAGAUGUGCCCAGAUUACUUGCUUCCUUCUCAGCUGUGGGUAGUAUUGUUAAGCCAAACUGACCAAGAGGUCUUUCUGAAGCCCUGAAUUUGUGCUUUGGGUAUGUGAGGGAAGCUGUGGGAUCCCUUUGCUCUCCCUGGUGAGUGAUGUGCCUCUGUAGAAGCAGGGAAAGCUGAAUGUAUAAAGUACAAGUGUGCAAAGCUGCUUAAAAAUUUAAGAGUGAGAGGGCAGCUGGAGCAGAGUGCCUUGGGGUGAGAAUAUGACUACAGCCUGAGCUGUGUGCAGACCUGCGAACGUGAUGCUCCUGCAGGACCCUCUCUGACUUGCGAAGCAUCUUCCCUAAGGCAACCUGAAGCUAGAAGAGGUCUAAAGUUAUUAGGAUACAUCUCUGCUUUUUUGAGACUACUUUAUAUUCAGUGAUGGUCCAGCAUGGAGCAGCCUACCCAUGCUAAUGCUAUUUGUGAAUAUCAUAAACAUCUUUUCUAUCCCAUUUAUAAAAUUGCUGAGGAAGAUAUUGAAGGGUGAAGAACCCUACAAGGUUCUGCAGAGUAAAGACCUGCAGUCUUGCUGUGAGAAAGUGCUACAAGAACAGAAUAAAUGAAUCGGGGAAAGCUUAUUGCACCAAAGCUAUUGCAGUUCACUGCAAAAAUGUACAAGACGACAGAAGAUAACUGAUUCUACUUGGCCAAAUCUUGCUGUUAUUACACUGGUGUAAAUCACUAUCCAGUCACUGGUCUUUGAGAGGCUUUAUGCCACUAGAAAUGACUUCCUAGCUAAAGUAUGCGCCUAUCCUGGAUUCAUUUGUCUUCUGACUUAACCAAGUAACUGACACUUCAGCAGCCUCUCAGAAAUCCCUAGGCCGUGGCUGAAAGGGGCUGCUGAUCUUUCUUGACCCCAGAAGACAGAUCAUGUCUAAACCUUCUGGAUUUCUUCCCAUGUCACUUCUCUGUAAUAUGUGUAUUCAGCCGUGCUAGGAUUGAACCUCCUGCCUAGGUACAUGUAGCUUUGUUUUGCUGCCCUACUGUAUUUUUGAAUGAUUCUUUAAGAAUGUUCUGCCUGAUGAAAUGUAUAGCUGGAAAACUUAACACAAAUGGAAGAGAUAAGUUAAGUCUGUCUUUCCCGAUAUUAAGUAAAAUUACGUUAAUGCAUUUCUAUGUUAUUUUCUUUCUGCACAUAAUUUUUUCUUCUUUAGAAUCUGUCCUAAAGACUAUUAUUCAUUUAUUUAUUCAUUUAUUUUUACCAUCCUGUUAUGUAUGUGCUUGUUUUUGUCUCGUCGUGUACAACUGCCCUGGCUUCCUUGAGGAUCCUUGGUACCAGAACCAUGACUUUACAUGUUCCAAUCGAGAUCAUUUGUUCUUCUCUGCACUUGUUGGCUCUGAAACAACGUCUCAGACCUUUACUUUAUGCGCAAUUCUCCUUCUGCUGUCUUUGUCCACUGUCCAGCUUGCCUCCUCUGUUAUCUGCAGAGCCAAUUUCUCACUCAAACAAAGUAUUUGCUUGGUUUUGGGGAGACACCUCAGUUGCCUUUAUUCUCUGCCAUGUUCUUACCACAUAACAGAACCUCUCUGUUCUUAUUCUGCUUUCAUUUAUGUAACUGAACAACCUCUGUAUUAUUAUUUCCUGUGCAAAGUUUAAGUCAGCCUGAUUCUUGGCAGUCCAUGUUGGUUUCUGAGCCAUGAUAGUCAGGAAUAUCAUCACCAGCUGCACUUAUUUUCCAGGCUGUUCCUGGGGCGGUAAAGACUCCCAUAGUGAUAUGAUUCUUCCAGCACGUCUCUGCCCAGUAUCACUGCAGUGGUAUUUGUCCUUGACCAGGUGAGACAGAUUGCUCUUUACAAACAUCUCUCUCCAUUGAUUACAAAGGGAACAGCUCAGAGUAUGCAAGCUACUGAAGUUAAUAUGGCCAGAAGUGUUCAGCAGCCUGGGUUUUCCUGCAUGUUGCACUGCAGAGUUACCUGCCUGCCUUCUCUGUGCUCCUCUAUAGGGGCUUGCCAAGGCUUUAUCUGUAUCUGAACCACUGAUCUCACCGAACUCAUUAAAGGAAGAUUGAUUGAUUCAAUCUGUGUGUAUCUGAGGGCUGUUUCUCUUGGAAGAUCAUGGUGUUUGGCAAUGGCAGAGCUCAAGGUUUCUACCAGCCCAUUUCUGUUGCUCUCUAGGCAGUUGCUGAAGGCAUAGUUCUCACUAGCUUAUUUCCAGUUCUCCGUGUGCAUCCCCUUGGUGUCUGAGCAGUGGACCUCACAGCAGUCCCUUGUCAUAGGCUGCUUCUGCACAGCUCAUGAGCAGAGACAUGUCCACAUAGCUAAUUCUCUCCCAGGACUAGAGUUGAACUGAGAGAAAGGCAGCAUUCCUUCAGAGCAGAGUGGCAGAAAGGAAGAUUGCCUGAGAUGGCACUUGAUUAGCAGCAUCCUUCAUGCCCUAUCCUCCACAUCUGAUGUGGGCAAUCAGGAGGAGGUGUUGCCAAGGCUACAGAAUCUUGUCAGUCUGUUCCAGGUCCUCUGUGACUUCCCUCUCCCCUCUUCCUUCCCUAACCCUGCCCAGACUUUCUGUUUAAAUACCAUCUGUUUCAGCUGCAAUUUGCACAAGUGUCCCCAAGGGCUUUACUCUCAGCUCUCUGUAAUCUGCCCUUUGUAUGCAAACCCUCUUCGAGAUGGUCUUGUCAUGCAGAACAUACACUUGUCUUUGAGAAGCGAUAAAAUAGGGAUGUGAAGCAACAGAAGACAAAGCAGAAAAACAAAUUUGAGGUAGAUAAGCAGGAAUGUUGCUGGCAAAGAACAUCCCCCAGUCAGUCAGGCUGAUGCUGUUCUAAAGAAAUUCAAAGACCAUGUUCUUUCAUGACUCCAACAUCCAGAGUCCAGGACGCUAUCAUCAAAUCUCAAUAUGUUUUUUUUUCUGAGGAUUGUUCUUAGCCUUUUGUACUACAGAGAACUGAUUGAAAAUGCAGUAUGUCUUUUCUUUCUGCUGCAAAGAGCAACCAGGGAGCCCAGAUCUAUCUGCUUUAUAUCUUGCAAUUAAAAUCAAUUACAGAUUUUUUUGCACACCUGGAGCUGUCAGUGCUACAGCUCAGAGGUCCCUGUGCCUGGACCACCCAGCUUUGCAAAUAUCUGCACAGAUACACGCGUCUCCAAUUGGUAAUGCAUUUUGCAAUAGCUGUCUCAGUGUCUUUAAACAAGUACUCAAUACUCUGAACAUUCACGUUGCAAAGCACUGGCCUCUUUUGGAGUAUUUGUCUGCUUUUUGUGUGUGUGAUGGAGAGGCUGCUUUCACUCUGUCAGAAGGAAGAUUACAUAUGCAGUUGCAUAUUUGGGUUGCUCAUCUUAUGGAGUGCUGAACAGGCUUCCUAAGCAAUGCUUCAGGCCUUUGCUUAACACUCAAAAUGAGCUCUGCAUUUUCUGGCUCAAAAAGACUUUUGAGCACAAUGAAUCAAAAAGGGGAUGAUUUUUGAAGCACUCGUAUGGGAAAUUUAUGGCUUUGCUUCUUUCCAAGAUGAAAAACCUGAUGUAGGCUAUAAAUUUACUUAGAGGUUUGCCUUUAUAACUGAGCUUGCGACUUCUCAUGGGAAACAGAAAAUGGGUAGGUAUAAAUCAACCUGCUCUAAAUGGAAUGGCUGGGACUUCAGAAAGAGAAAUCUAGUCCAAAGGACACGCUCUUUGUUGUGGAAUUAGGCAGAGAUCAAAUCCUUUGUUAUCAUUUCAUGCACAAAGAUCCUCUGGUAUGAAUCCUAUGGCACUUUUGGCCAGGUGAGCUGGUGUGAGUAGGAGCAGAGCCAGGGAGGAUGCAGGCUAUAAAACCCUUCUUGAGCCCUCUAACAUUUUCCUCUUGUUCCAAGAAAGACAGAGAUGUUCUCCCACUACUGGCAAGGAGAAAGAAUGGGAUAGGUUGAAUUGGGGCAGCACAAGGAGCUGUAGGAUAAAUUCCUUGGAGCCCUGGGGCUACAGUGUGUGGUGGUGCCAGCAGGAGCCCAGCGGGGCCUCAUGCUGCAGCUCUGCUUGGUGAUCCCACACACCUACAGCCAGUCUUGGCUACCGACAUGCACAGGCUGUGCUGGUCAUCCCACACAGCAAUGUGAAAGCAGAUCCCAAACUGCUCUGCUGGGACAGAGGGAAAUAAAAUUGAACUACAACAGGGAACCAAACCCGUGUUUAAUCCUGAUCAGUUUACAUUGAAACAUGGCUGCUGACAGGUUAUUUUGGUUAAAAAAGAAAGCAAGGGCUCAUUGUGUCCCUCGUUCUGCUGCCUACUUCCUAUGGGUGGAGUUGUGCUGAAAUCAGCUGGAGCCCUUCCACAUACGGCCAACGGCAGGAUUAGCAGCAAUGUUUUGCAAAUAUCUCUCUUACUCAAAUAACGUAUUAACUAAAAUGCUCCACUGAGCUGCAAUCAUUACUAGAGUUGUUUUAGCUUAUGGUUUCUAUGGUGAGUAGUAUGUUUUUGGAAGCAGGUCGAGGCUUUUUUUUUUCCUCCACUUGGAAACGCUGCAUUGAAGAAAGAGGAGAUUGUUCAAGGAUUUCAAACAUGUUUUUCUGAAAUAUGCUUUCCUUUUCAGUGUUUGGUAAUACAACUUCAUUUGCAUGAUGCUACAGGCUGUAGGCUAAAGUGCUCGGCUGGAUGAUUUUUUAACAAGAUACAGAGAUGCCACAGAAUUAGGUGCACAUUCAGCGAAAAGCCAAGCGAUGCUCCAGUUUGCAACUCCAGAGAAGCACUGGAGAUGCUUGUGGCAUCACACAGGGUGCAGUGCAGUGCUUGGGGCUGAACACAACAUGGAACAAAUCUCUGCAUUAGAGCACAGGACACAGAGAGGCGAGUCCCACCAUUCACUCUGCAAAAAGUUGUUGACCAUCCCUCCACUCUGUAGUCUGGGGACGUGGCUCCUCAGCCCAGCUCCCUCUGGCCUGUUUGCAUCCAACAGAGGCAGCUGCGUCCUGGACAAGAGAGGUGGGUGUGUAGCAACAUCAGGCGACUGCUGAUAGGAAUGUGGAAUAUUUGAACUAUUUCAUUUUUCAUGUAGAAAGCUCAGUGUCGGCACAAGAAAUGCAACACAAAAGCAAACAUCUAAAAAGGAGAAGAGGCAAAGACUGAACAGUAACAGGUUUUGGUAACUGUGUGCACAUUUCCACACAUUAAUCAGAAGAUGAAAUUCUUAAAUCAUGGCAAUAUCACCACUAGAUUCUAUGUAAACUCUUAUAUAGCGUAUGAUUACUCUUGUCUGAUUUGCUAAGCAGCAAUGGUCAAUGUCACGUUGUGUAGGUAUCAGAAGAAUUAUUUGGUAGGCUUUUUAAAGAUUUCUGAAAAACUAGAGAUAUAAAUUACUGCUGUUAAGUUUGGAACGAAAAGAGGAAAAAUGCAAAGAUUGUCAAUGCUCUUAAUCAGUUCAUCAUAGAGUGUGGUGAGGCACUGGCACAGGCUGCCCAGAGAAGCUGUGAA